GUAUACUACAUUGUGUGGCUAUAAAGUAGCAAAAUAGAUUUUUGCAUGUUGCUGCUGGAAUCCAUCCUCAUUAUUUCUAGUCACACAUUGUGUAUAU
rnacentral:pre_miRNA from 1 species